ACACCCAGGUCAGUGCAGAAGGAGGGGCAGGAGGAGCUCCAGGUGCUGGAGCUGAGAUUCCCCUGCAGCCCGAGGUGGGGCAGCUGUGCCCCUGCAGCCCAUGGAAAUCUUUGGCAGCCUGUGGAGGAGCCCAGGCUGGAGCAGGUCAUUGUCCAAAGGGGGCUGUGACUCUGUGGGAAGACUGUGCUGGAGCAGGCUCUGGGCAGGACCUUGGCCCUGUGGACAGAGGAGCAGGUUUGCGACCUGUGACCCUCUCUGUGACCCAGCCCGGUGCAGCCCCUUCCUGAAGGCCUCCAGCCCUGUCGGAGAGACCCACUCUGGAGCAGUCUGUGAAGAACCCACACUGAAGCAGUUCAUGGGGGACUGUCUCUCCUGGGAGGGACCCCAUACUGGGGCAGGGGAAGGGUGUGAGGAGUCCAACACCUUUGGAGGAAGGAGCAGCAGAGACAAUGUGUGAUGAACUGACCACAGCCCCAUUCCCCUUCCCUCUGUGUCACUAGACGAGAAGAGGUCAGGAAAAUCAAGAGUGAAAUCAGGCCCAGGGAAAGGGAGAGGGUGGAGCCAUGAAGUGGGAGCAUACACAAUUCAUCUGUGAUAUAAUUAUUUACCAUGGCAACAGUUUGUGAAUGGGAUUGUGAAGUUGCGAAUAACUAAAAAGAGGCUUAAGUAGAACAGACUGAAAAAAUUAUCCUUUUCUAAACAAGUGAAGAGUCCUUUGAGGUCGGGAAAGCUUUUGUCACUCCAAUAUGUUAAAACAGGAGGAGUUGAAAAGGAUAGUUUUGGGGCUUAUUUUUCCUCCUUUGCUAAAACCCUUGCUAAAAUCUGAUGAGCAAAUGAAGAUAAAUACUUUGAAUGUGUUUGUGUAUGUGCAAAUUUGUUUUGGUGUGUGUAUGUGUGACUGACAAUGAAGAACAUUUGAAUAGACUUGAAAUCACAAGCACUAAAUCUGACAUUGCCCAGCAAGAACGAGAAAAGCUUUGGAAGAUCAAAUAUUGAAAAAUGAUGAAAAAAAAUAGUCAUACUUGUGGUGGUUGGUUUUUUUCUUGUUAUAGUCCUGAGAUAAGCAGAUGGUUCAAAUUGACACUGGUAUGCAAGACCUCUAAAUUUUAGAGUCAGAGGUAGAUAGAAAAAAAAUCUAUUGAAAACUAGUAGUAUAAUCUUUGUAUUUUGCUGAAGGCUGCUACUGGCAAAUCUCUCCCUACAACGUAUCCUAUUCAAUCAUGUAUUGAGUAUUUUAGCACUGCUGCUCUAAAAUCAAAGAAAUCUAUUGAUGUUCUUCAAAGGCACACUGAGCUGCAUAUGAAAAGAAUAACGACAACAACAAAAACUCAUCCAGAUGCACCAUGUUUUACAGUUUACCCACCUGGGAGUUAAAUUAGGUGCCAUAUUUACCCUAACUCACACACAUAAUGAUUUAAGAAUCAGAAUAUUUCAGAGGAAUAGAUAAAAAGCCAUCAAUACAUUUCAUUGAAUGUUAAUUAGUCCAGGAACACUUUGAAAAGUCUCCUGCCUGGUUGGUGGCAUAAAGGGGGAUUUUUUAAUAUGUUUCUCCAGCUUCUUUUAAAAGUCAGUCUUGAUAUGCCUCCACCCUGCAGAAAUGUCCCACUUUAAGUGGCAGCUAAGGUGAGCCCCAAACAAUAGAGGUCUUUUCACUGACACCAGUGGAAUCAGGAUCACAGCCAGUGAAUGAACAUGGAAAGCAGCUGCAUAGAAAAACAUUUAUUUCCCCUGGCAAUCAUGAACGAUGAUUUUAUUUUUUUUUUUAAUGCUGAGUAAGUAUGUUAUCUUAAAUGAUACUACUUAAAAGGAUCCUUACAGAACCUUCUUGAGUUACAGAACCUUCUUGAGUUACAGAAUAGAAGAAAAGGAAAAAGCGCAUUGAUUCCAACUGUCCUGUCUGCUCUGAAAACAUCUGGAAACAAUCCUGAACAACCUGAAGCAGACGAAAAGCAUAUCUUCCCCUGGUGAUGGAGCAUGUGAUGCUUGGUUUCCUGCAGUUUUGUGGCAUGCUGUUGGGCUUUCUGACAAGAGAUGAGUUCUGACUGAAGAUUUUUCUGAAUGUGGGACAUUAAUAAAAUUUGAAUUGAUUUUCUCAUGUCUCAAGAGAUUGUGGCAUCUGUAUAGCAUUUUCCUCUUCCUUAUAUCAUGGCAACAAGCAAGUUAACAAUUGAUUGAUUCUGGGUCAAAUCGGGAGCUUGCCUCCAACAAAACCUCUAGGAAUGUGUGGAUUGUAGAAAAGACUAAGGCUUGCAUGAUCUGACCCCUGGGUGCUGUGGCAGUACACAAUAUCUUGGCGUCUGUGUCGGUGAUAGUUAUGGGAACAGAGUUUCAAUACCCACAGAGUGUUCUUCAAAACCUCUGAAAGAAGAAAAAAACCUACUGGUAUGUCUGUUGGGAGGAUCUUUGGUGCUCACUGUAGAGGGACAUUAAGACCACAACCUUCGAAAAAAAGUGACAAAAGGAAACACUCCAGAAGAGAGUCAGCAGAAGCAACAAAAAUUCACUUGUGAAUUGUAACUUUAGUGAUGUACUGACUCUUCAAAUAACAUAUUUUUACCUGAAUAUUCACAUUGUCUAAAUUUCACAUUAUCUUCUUUGAUGGUCCAGUCCCUUCGAUUGAUUGCUGUGGUAUGGCCUGGUUCUUUCAAUUCUUUAAAUCCUUUUCUGAGUGCAGAAGCAGAGCAAAAGAACUCUCUUUUCUGCAAGGGGGGAGGUGAAGUUCAGCCUUUAAAAAAUAUCUGAGGAGUAAAGUUGUAUAAAUAGCUACUGACUUGUAAGGGAAAAAAUCCUUCUUGACAAGAAAAGGCUGAGAUAAGAAGUCAUGCUUACAGCCUAAUGACUGAUACGAGGAGAAUAUUAUCAUUACAAUAAUUAAUUAUUGAUUUACUGCAUGGAAAACUGAAAACAGGGGACGGGAGUAGAAAGCGGGAUCCACAAGUGCAGUCACAAUGAUUCUCAGGAGUUGAUUCUGGAGAUGAAAUUACUACACCCACUUUAUCAAGGUGCACCAGCAUGGUAGCACGGCCAGUUAAUCAGAAGGUGCUCAGCUGUGCAGCCACUACACCUUUGGUGAUCUGAAACUGUAUCUCUGCUCCACUUUGUACUGCACUGUGGACAUAUCUGCUCACUCACUACUGUGUUGGGUUACAGAAUGCUACCACUGUCCAACGCCACACAUCACCCCUGGCAGGCAUUUAUUUUUUUAUUUUUUAGUAGGAGCAGUAUUCAUACAACUGUGCUUUCCAUGUCCCGAGUACAGGAGGUUCUGGCAGACCAGAAAGCAUAUUUAGGUUUUGCAAAUCUAGUUUUCCAUUCCCCAGUCCUCCUUUAGAUGGGGCUUCCACAAGACAGAGAGGUAAAGUAAAGAAUAAGCAAAUAAAAUGUCAAAGAAUAAGACUCAAUAUAAAUUUCUGCUAUCAGUGUUAGGACAUUUAGUUGGAAGAAGGGUAAACUUGAGCUCUAGGCAAUGUAUGACUUCUACAUGAAAUAAUCUUUACAAGAGGGAAGAGAAGCCAAGAAAGUGCCAAGAGUUUGCCACUGAACAAGGAAUUGCAGCUUGAGGUUUUGGAGCUUUUCUAAAUCUUUCUCUUUUGUCAAUCCAACAAAACUUAAUUCUGUUAUGUUCAGAAGAAUAAGAACCAUGCUAUCCCCUUAUUAAAUAGCCAUCACCAUAGUGAUUAAAGUGCUUUACUUAGGGGUGAGAAAUGUAGGCUUGAAUCUACUCCAAAGGAUGAAGGAAGUGCACACAUUCUAUUAAAGAAUAACUAAAUCUUCAUCUUCUCUGUCCAGGAUCUAUCCAGUCUAACUUUGAGAAGAGACAUUUUGAUUGACAUUUUUAUUGUGAAAAUCAUACUACUGGAUACUGCCCCUGCUCCCGACAGCCAAGCAUGCAUCUUCAUCCAUUGCCCUGUGAUAUGCCACAGACUGGGAGAGGAAAAGCUGUAAUGAUGGGACAAUAGUAAUGGCUGUUUUAACACCUUUGGGAUGCCAUCUGUCUGUGGCUUCAGUGCAAGUGUUCCUGGGGAUGACAGCGCACACCUGAAUAAAGUACCUAUUGAUUUAACACAGCAAUUUCCUACCUAACAGAAAAUUAGGACACCUUCCUAUGUAGGAAAGUAUUUAAACACAAGCUUCAUUUUAAUUUAAUUUUAAGCAUGUUUAAUACAUUCCUGAAUCAGGGCCACUUAGGUAAUUGUGUGGCAUAAUUGCAACAGCCUACUUUAAAAGUGCUGUGUAGCACCACAGAAAUGUAAUUCCCAGUGUCUGUUUAAGGAGGUGAUCUAUAGCUUAAUGUUAGUAUAAUCGUCAUUUGAUUCAGCAGUUGCUUAGAUUGUAACAUUGUAACAGUGUUAAAAAAGAUAAAUAAAUACAUAAAAUAG